UACAGAGGGGCGAGCGUUAUUCGGAAUUAUUGGCGUAAAGGGCGCGUAGGCGGCCACGUAAGUCUCGGGUGAAAUCCCUCGGCUCAACCGAGGAACUGCCCUGGAAACUGCGUGGCUCGAGGCCGGGAGAGGAUGGUGGAAUUCCCAGUGUAGCGGUGAAAAUGCGUAGAUAUUGGGAGGAACACCGGUGGCGAAGGCGGCCAUCUGGACCGGUCCUGACGCUGAGGCGCGAAAAGCGUGGGGGAGCAAAACAGGAUUAGAUACCCUGGUAGU
rnacentral:rRNA from 1 species